UGGUGUGACCCUGUUGGAAAACUGGCA
rnacentral:piRNA from 1 species